rnacentral:miRNA from 1 species
ACCGGCUCCUCGUUGCCUUAUU